rnacentral:tRNA from 1 species
CGGGGUGUAGCUCAGUGGUAAAGUGUGUGCUUGGUAUGCGUGAGGUCCUGGGUUCAAUCCUCAGUACCUCCG